rnacentral:rRNA from 1 species
UACGUAGGGUGCAAGCGUUUGUCCGGAAUUAUUGGGCGUAAAGAGCUCGUAGGCGGUUCGUCACGUCGGCUGUGAAAACCUGGGGCUCAACUCCGGGCCUGCAGCCGAUACGGGCGAACUAGAAUUCGGUAGGGGAGACUGGAAUUCCUGGUGUAGCGGUGAAAUGCGCAGAUAUCAGGAGGAACACCGGUGGCGAAGGCGGGGUCUCUGGGGCCGAUAUUGACGCUGAGGAGCGAAAGCGUGGGGAGCGAACAGG